GACGGGUGAGUAACACGUGAGCAACCUGCCCUUCAGAGGGGGAUAACAGUUGGAAACGACUGCUAACACCGCAUAACGUUGCGAGGCCGCAUGGCCCUGCAACCAAAGGAGCAAUCCGCUGAGGGAUGGGCUCGCGUCCGAUUAGCCAGUUGGCGGGGUAACGGCCCACCAAAGCGACGAUCGGUAGCCGGACUGAGAGGUUGAUCGGCCACAUUGGGACUGAGACACGGCCCAGACUCCUACGGGAGGCAGCAUG
rnacentral:rRNA from 1 species